CAUUCACUGGGCAAGCCGACUGUGAGCCAGGAAGUGCUCUUGGGGAGCCCAGGCCAAGCCAUCCAUUCCUGGGUCCUUUGGAGGGAGAUAGGCUUGGUCCUGCUCCAUCUGCAGCACCGUGUGUGGACGAAGCAUUGACCUGGGAAUCAGGAUGUGUCGGAUCUGAUCUUGGCCCUGCUGCACAUCCUGUGCAACCUUGGGCCUCUCUCAGCCCUGAGGGCUGGCAGAGAGGAGGUCCUUUUUGGCCCCAGGUGACUCUUAACUCCCAGGACAGAGGUGAGCCCUAAUAAGGGGGUUUGGGAAAUUGGGUCCUGGGAGGAGUUGGAAUUUGGAGUGGGGACAAAGAUCAUUCUUGGAUCCAUGGUUGCCAUUAAUGGGUCCCAUUAUAUUGUGUUUAAGCCAGACAGACUUGGGGUUAAAUCCUGCCUCUUUAAAAUGAAAUGAAGGAAACGUACAAAAGGACCAGCAUUUCUUACCGCUGGGUAUUAAUGGUUUAGCAAAGGUCCUGAGCCCUUAGUUGCCUGGAGGCUUGAGUCCUGGGAGCCCGCUGUCUGCUGCCUCUGCAAGUGGGAGAGGUCACUGCCCG
rnacentral:sRNA from 1 species